rnacentral:rRNA from 1 species
CUUGUACACACCGCCCGUCACACCAUGGGAGNGGGAUGUACCAGAAAGCAGCUAGCCUAACCGCAAGGGGGGGNGGUUNCCACGGUACGUUUCGUGACUGGGGUG